UUUCCGUAGGUGAACCUGCGGAAGGAUCAUUAUUGCAUAACCGAGGUGCGAGGGCUGUCGCUGACCCGAAAGGUCGUGCACGCCCGAGUGCCCUCACACACAUCCAUCUCACCCCUAUGUGCACCACCGCGUGGGACCCCCUUGGCUUGUUCGGAGGGGGGCUUACGUUUUCACACAAACUUUGUAUGCAGUGUAGAAUGUAUUUUUUGUUUUUGCGAUCACGCAAUCAAUACAACUUUCAACAACGGAUCUCUUGGCUCUC
rnacentral:misc_RNA from 1 species